GCUUGGAUGGCUCAGUUGGUUAGAGCGCAGGUCUCAUAGUUCGCUAUGAUCGUUGAUCUUCAACGAGCAAUCCUGAGGUCGUGAGUUCGACCCUCACUCCGAGCA